rnacentral:tRNA from 1 species
AAGAAAUUAGUUAAAUCAUAACAUUUGCUUGUCAUGCUUAAGUAGUCUUUUAGACAUUUCUUA